rnacentral:misc_RNA from 1 species
GAUGAAGAACGUAGCGAAAUGCGAUAAGUAAUGCGAAUUGCAGAAUUUCCGUGAGUCAUCGAAUCUUUGAACGCACAUUGCGCCCACUGGUAUUCCGGUGGGCAUGCCUGUUCGAGCGUCAUUAUCCCCCCUCAAACCCCGUGUUUGGUGUUAGACCCAAGUUGUGUGAACAACUGGUCUCAAAGACAAUGACGGCGUCCGUGGGACCCUCGGUGCAACGAGCUUUUAGGAGCACGCGCCGAGUUGCAAGGACCUUCCGGGCCGGUCUCCUUUUACUAUUUUACAAGGUUGACCUCGGAUCAGGUAGGAAUACCCGCUGAACUUAAGCAUAUCAAUAAGCGGAGGA